UACGGGGGGAGCAAGCGUUGUUCGGAUUUACUGGGCGUAAAGCGCACGUAGGCGGAUGUGUCAGUCAGGGGUGAAAUCCCGGAGCUCAACUUCGGAACUGCCUCUGAUACAGCACAUCUUGAGUUCGAGAGAGGUGGGUGGAAUUCCUAGUGUAGAGGUGAAAUUCGUAGAUAUUAGGAAGAACACCGGUGGCGAAGGCGGCCCACUGGCUCGAUACUGACGCUGAGGUGCGAAAGCGUGGGGAGCAAACAGGAUUAGAUACCCGUGUAGU
rnacentral:rRNA from 1 species